CCCCACCCCCCAACCUGUCCAUCUGGCAAACCUUCCUCACGCCCCUCUCUCUGCUUUUCCUGGCUCCAUUCAGACCUUCCUGCUCCUGUCCUCCCGCAGGGUCUUACACAAAACCCCACUGUAGCAAUGAUUGCCGUGGGUUUUGAUGGUGUGCUAGCUCCUUGAUGCUAGACACUGUAUGUAGCCUUUUGUCACCAGUGCGGAUCACAGAGCCUGGCCAAGAGGGACCCUCCGUUGUGCGGGAAGAAGACAGAAUGUUGCUCAUGGGCUUCUCCACUCAUGGGGGACCUUAUGACGUCAUCGUGGGCCCAGAACCUCCGGCCACUGAAGACUUCCUCAUUGAUGUUGGGGACUGCCUCUUCUUCCCGGUGGAAAUCUUCUGGCAUGUGCACAUGGCCAUAGCUUCCCCUUCACAUGUUUAUGGGCUGAUAUCUACAUUCCCUGGGUCAUCAUCAUUCCAGACCCAAAGACCAGUCUGUCGUGCCUGGUAGUCCUCAUGCACACCUCAGCCUCUCAAUUAAUUUUAUCCCUCUCCCUGGUCCUGCUCCAGCCCCAGCUGUCUUCCUUGGUGGGGUGGGCCGGGGGCGGGGGCAGCGAGCUCAUUUGCCUACUUGAGUCCAGGUGUGAGCCUGGCACCUAGGUGGGCUUGACUGCUAGGCUGAUGCUGCCUGAUGCCCCUUCUCCUCCCUUCCACCUCUUCCUUCACCGCCCUGCUGCCCUCCAGAGCCCAGCCCCACACAGAACCUUAGAGGCAGCCAUUUCAAGUGGUUUCUAAGAGCCCUCAUUGGAAAAAACCUUGCAACCAUCCAGCAGUGCUGAUCUUAUGUGAGCUAGCACAAAUCCGAAAUUAAACUAAGCAAAUGGCACUAAUCCCAUCAUGGUCGUCAAACCUAGCCCAUUACAGGAGGCAGUUCGGAGGGUGGGAGGCUGAGUUUCUGGCUUGUGUGAGGGAGGCCCCAGAGAUCAGGUUGCCACAGAUCAGGUUCACUGGGGAUAAGAACGGGCAGUUACAAUUACAGGUGCUGUUUACAUACUUUGCCCCUUGCCCUUGACACAGUCCAGAAGGAGCCCCAGGUGCCCUGCUCUGUACCUCUUAGGGUUAGCCACAAACCCUGGGAGACAAGAAAAGCCUCCCACCCCCAAAGAAAGCCAGGGCCCAUGCAAUGCCCCAUUUGGGCGCCUCUACAGGCCAGAUGCCCUGGAAAGGGCUUUCUUUCUUUUCCCUUUUCUUCCUUUUUUGUCUUUCUUUUCAAUACUGUUUUUACAAGGUGGAACUCCUCUGCGUCACAGAAGAAACCCAACUCUCCUGCUGUUUUCAGCCUUUUUAAAAACAGAGGUAUUGGUAUAAUGCCAGUCUUUGAAACAAAUUUCCCGUAGUUUUUCCAAGGGAUGGCCAGGGGAUUUGGACCUGAAGAAGUGGCCCUUUCGUCCAGUGCAGGAAAACAACCAGGCUUGCUCAUUCCGUACGGAUGUCACGCUUGCCCUCAGCACCUGUUGCAGGCCCCAAAGCCACGGUGGGGGACGGCUGUGGAUCUGGCAGAACACCCACAGUCGACGAACAAUCUGUUAAGUCCCACAACAGGGGCUUGCAGAUAGAUACUGUGUUUCUGGGUGUCCAGGAGGGGAGCAUUUUCUCCCGAACUGCGUGACCAUGGCCACAGGCAACAAGACAAUGGGUGUUCCAUACUGAAGCUUGGAUGGGUUAUUGAUGUGCUCCACAUCCCACGGGGCAAGAAACUGGCAGAGCCUCGAUAUGAACACGGAGCCUCCCAGUGAUUUGCUGCUCCACCACUUUGCCCAUUUAUAAGAGGAAAACCUAUGAGGCCCCUGUCCUCAACAUCAUUUUGUCUCUAAAAUACUCUUCGAGCAAAGAGAAAAACUGCUGUUAAGAAAAUAUCACUAAACACACAGGACCCACCAAAACACAGACCAAGGAAGUCUAGGAAAGUCAUGGAUUGAGGAAAUAUGGAUUUAGUUACAGAACAUACAUAUUCUAUACUUCCACCUGUCCGUAAAAAGUACAUCAAAGGACUUUAUUUAUUUUUUUAUAACAUCAAAGGACUUUAAAAAACUCUAGCAAGAAGACACAGCAAAUGGAUCUUUUUAGACACCUUACAUACCUGCCUAGGAUUCGCUCGAUUUCAAUUUAGUCACUGAGUGAUAAGAAUUUCCUAAAAGAAUGCGGGCGCAAAGACCAGUAUCUCCUGGAAAGAUUUUUUUUUUAAGAUCAUUAGAUUGAGGAAGUCCAAUAAAGUAGCCCUUGUAAUGAUUUCUGAGGACGCUAUGUAGUUCCAAGUCUACUGCCCACCAGCUUUGUGACCUCAGGCAAAACGCUUGACCACUCUGGGCCUCUUCAUCGUUGUCUGUAAAAUGAGAGAGCACUUAUGGUGACAAGGUACCAUGAAAGACAGGGUGUUUGGCUCAGAAUCCCUAGGAAGUGUUCUCCUUAGUGGGGCCUGGUUUGCUGGUUCCUGCAAAGAUGCCUCAUUUGGGGCACAGAGGACAGGCAGUGCAGGAUCUGAAAUGCUACCCUACCAACCACCAGUGAAAUGCCUCUCUCAGUGCUGGAAACACAGAGCACCCAGGUGGCGUGAGCCAGAACAUACUCGAGGCGAUGGGUGCCAGGUUUAGGCUCUAACUCUGGCAGGCCCUCUCAGUGCUCAGCCAAAGUGUUGGGGGUGGGGAGAUUCUCUUCCCAUUUGUGACUUUUCUAAAUCCUCCCCUCUCCUAUAUCUGUGUCUGAAGACAAUCACAUUCCAGUUGAGGUAGAGCAGGGCAGGGGUGGGGGGGAACGGGGGAACGGGUAGGGGCGGUGGUGAGCCAAGCAACGUCUUGGAACCUUUGUCCCAAAUUGUGUGGCUUUUGCCGGACAUUCAUUUUCAAGAUGGGCUUUUGUUCUUUGGGGAGAAGAAAAAUCUCUCUUCCCUUUUGCAUGUGGCUACAGCAAAAGCUGCAAGUCACAGAGCUGCCAAUUUCAACACAUGUGCAUGGGCACACACACGCACACACGCGCACACACACACACAUACACACACACAUACACACACACGAGGAGAUCCUAGUCCUGGCUCCCUCUGAAACAAUUCAUCUUCAGCCUUCACUGUUAAUUAUGACUCUGUGCACCAAUAACCAAAUGACACUGAGCCUGGAGUGGCUGUCCCUGUCUCUCCACAUGACAUUUAUGCAGGUUGAUGAAAUCAUUCUGGGCAAGGUUAAGACAAGUCUCUCCAGUGCAAAGGUUCUGUUUAAAACAAACACUGCUUGCUCUUGGGACCUGGCAGGGAAAUUAAAAAGAAACCCAAGAUGCUCUAGGCUUCUGUCCUGGUUUCCAGGCAACCAGAUGCUGGGUGCAGGAAGGGAGAGGGGCUUUCUUCUGGUGCCAGACAGUAUUGAUAGACAGUGGGCUAACUUUCUGAGCCAAGGAGAUGGGGAGGGACAGAGGAAGCCUGCAUAAGCCUCAUUACCCUAAUCAACCAUAGAGUCGGCUUGUUGGCAGAGAGCAUUGAAAAAUGAGCCCAUCUGCACAGGCUGAGCUGGGGAGAGAUGCUUUUCUAUACUUUAAAAGACUGGGUGGCUAUAAGCUUGAUUCACAGGUAACCAUCGUCUUGGCAGCUCUAGAUUGGUGUGCGGUUCAGGUAGGCAAAGACAGCUGGGCGAGUGGGUCUCAGGGAGCCCCGGCAACCACUCACCUGGCAGAAGCAGGAGAAGACAGAACAGUGCUGGCCCUUUCUCUCUACGCUACAAUUCCACCAGGAUCCCGAGAGACCGCAUCUACCAAUCAGAGUGUUAGACAGGAUGCAAGGAAGAAGAAGAUGGACAAGCACCAAGCCAUCACAUCCCCUUCACUAUUCCUUUGUGCCCAAGUCCCAUGCCCCCGCGGGAUCACGUGAUGUAGUAGAACCAUCGGGGGCUCCUUGACAGACCCAGGUUCAAAUCUGUCCUCUGCCCCUUCCCAGCAAGCUUCCUUUCUCUUCUGUCCACAGCGUGGUUGUGAAUCAGCAUUCAGCACAAAGUAUUCCUACUCAAAAAAACGAGAGGUUUACAUCUCAGGAGUUUCUAUGGUGACAGUAAAGUCUGUCCUAGCCCAAAUGGCAAGCAUCCCUCUGGUUUGAACAGUGCAGAGAUCUGGCAUUUUCCUCGUCCCUGAACUUGCCGUUCCCCAAGUGCUACAUGGCACACAGGACCUGGGAUCCUUCUGUGUUACAAGAAGAGAGGGCAUGACUACAGAGUGUAAUUACAUAAAACUGCAUGGCCUAGGACUCGACGCCAGCAGGGAUGUUCCCGUUUGGUGAAGGAGGAAAGGAAAUUGCAGGGAGGGUACGAGGUCUGCUGAAGGCCACGGGGCUGGAUCAUAAUGGAGUUGGGUCUCCGUUCCAGCACCUGCCGGAGGGCGGAAUGGGCUAACCUAGCAAGAGGCUCCCCAGCUCUGCUCGCGGUCACAGUGCCUCUGUUCCCCCCACCGCCGCCAGGACUUCCACCCACCGGUGUGGUUCCUGGGACCCCCCCCGAAGGGGGAGCCGGGCUCUGCCUGCCUGAGCCCCGCACCGUCUGUCGGGCCCUGUUGCCCCCACUGGAGUUCCGGCAUCUCAUUCUUGAGCACAGUCAUGGUUUUGUUUUCCCGGGUGCCCGUCUCUCCUGAAUCUACAAAAUCAAAACAAAUCUACAAAACAACAAGCAAACAGAACCAGAGAGGAAUCAAGUCCCCAGGUUUCUGUCCUGGCUCCCCUGCCUACGGUGUGGCUUUAGGCCAGUUCCUAGAAUUACCCAAGCCUCAGUUUUCUCUUCCCCCGGACCCAGCUUCAACCCUUCCUUCUCACUGGUGCAGCACGAGGUUUAAAUGACAAAAUGCAGAGACGCCUGAGUCACAAGGUCGGUUAAGCGCCCAAUGCCCGGUUUCGGCUCAGGUCACGAUCUCAGGGUCACAAGAGAGAGCCCCGCGUCGGGCUCUGGACUGACUGGAGUCUCCUGGAGACUCUUUCUCCCCCGCCCCUCCCCCUUCUCUCUUUUUCAAAUAAAUAAAUUUAAAAAUAAAUAACAAAACCCAGAUCAAAU